rnacentral:rRNA from 1 species
AGUGAACGCUGGCGGUAGGCCUAACACAUGCAAGUCGAACGGCAGCACAGUAAGAGCUUGCUCUUACGGGUGGCGAGUGGCGGACGGGUGAGGAAUACAUCGGAAUCUACUUUUUCGUGGGGGAUAACGUAGGGAAACUUACGCUAAUACCGCAUACGACCUACGGGUGAAAGCAGGGGAUCUUCGGACCUUGCGCGAUUGAAUGAGCCGAUGUCGGAUUAGCUAGUUGGCGGGGUAAAGGCCCACCAAGGCGACGAUCCGUAGCUGGUCUGAGAGGAUGGUCAGCCACACUGGAACUGAGACACGGUCCCGACUCCGGCGGGAGGCAGCAGUGGGGAAUAUUGGACAAUGGGCGCAAGCCUGAUCCAGCCAUACCGGGUGGGUGAAGAAGGACUUCGGGUUGGAAAGCCCUUUUGUUGGGAAAGAAAAGCAGCAGGUUAAUACCCCGCUGUUCUGACGGUACCCAAAGAAUAAGCACCGGCUAACUUCGUG